AGCGAACGCUGGCGGCAGGCCUAACACAUGCAAGUCGAACGGGCUUCUUCGGAAGUCAGUGGCAGACGGGUGAGUAACACGUGGUAACGUGCCCUUCGGUUCGGAAUAACUCAGGGAAACUUGAGCUAAUACCGGAUACGCCCUUUUGGGGAAAGGUUUACUGCCGCAGGAUCGGCCCGCGUCUGAUUAGCUUGUUGGUGGGGUAACGGCCUACCAAGGCGACGAUCAGUAGCUGGUCUGAGAGGAUGAUCAGCCACACUGGGACUGAGACACGGCCCAGACUCCUACGGGAGGCAGCAGUGGGGAAUAUUGGACAAUGGGCGCAAGCCUGAUCCAGCCAUGCCGCGUGAGUGAUGAAGGCCUUAGGGUUGUAAAGCUCUUUUGUCCGGGACGAUAAUGACGGUACCGGAAGAAUAAGCCCCGGCUAACUUCGUG
rnacentral:rRNA from 1 species